rnacentral:rRNA from 1 species
UCAUUAUAUCAGCAAUAAUUUAUUUGAUGAUUUCUUACUACAUGGAUAACUGUAGUAAUUCUAGAGYUAAUACAUGCGCAAAGUCCUAACUCGCGAGGGGAGGGAUGUAUUUAUUAGAUACAAAACCAAUGCGGGUUSUGCCCGCCAUUGUGUUGAAUCAUAGUAACUUAUCGAACGCCAUAGCCUUGUGACUGGGCGUAGAUCAUUCAAAUUUCUGCCCUAUCAGCUUUCG